ensembl:lncRNA
ACCCAAGACUUCACCACAGCAGAGGAGCUGGCCCUGGACUUAAAUAAAGGGAAGCCAGUGAUUGAAGGGAUCCAGGGAGGGACAGCCACUGACUCUGGCCCAGCAAGGGAUACUGGCCUCUUCAUACAAGUGGAUGGUAACACCCUUACACUUUUGGAGCCACCAGACUAUAAUUCAUCGGUGAGUACUCUUUAUUAAAUCAUAGGCUUUGCAUGUCCUGUCAAAAAUAUCAAUACAAGUAUUGAAUAUGGCAGAGGGAAGCCACAUCUACAGCAGCGGAGUGCACUUCUGCCGAUGAUGAGACCGUGUCGCUGGACUCCAGAAGGCUCGAGGAUCCUGACAUUGGGCAGCCUGAUAAGCAGCCUCGUAACAUAAGUUCACAAACUGUCAGAUAUCUGUACACAACGCAUCUUAAGAGACCGAUCGAGCUGACAGAAGUCAAGAUUGAUGUGAAAAAAAGAAAGCUGCAGGACAUGGACCUUGAGAUGCAAAUUAAACGAAACACACUGAGGAAACUAGAACUGGAAAUCCAGAAACUAGAAAGAGAACUCCAAGCUGACAAGUGAUAACAAC